UACAGAGGUCUCAAGCGUUGUUCGGAAUCACUGGGCGUAAAGGGCGCGUAGGCGGCCAUAUAAGUCGGGGGUGAAAGCCUGUGGCUCAACCACAGAAUUGCCUUCGAUACUGUAUGGCUCGAGACCGGAAGAGGUAAGUGGAACUGCGAGUGUAGAGGUGAAAUUCGUAGAUAUUCGCAAGAACACCAGUGGCGAAGGCGGCUUACUGGCCCGGUUCUGACGCUGAGGCGCGAAAGCGUGGGGAGCAAACAGG
rnacentral:rRNA from 1 species